CUAUAUAAUGUACUAUGAGUACUCUUUUCCUAUACUUUUUCUUAUCUCCCUUCCAUACCAGUCAAACCCCAUUCCUACAAGUCUUUCUUCCAGAUUCCUGAAUUUUGGGUUUGUUUCUGACCUAUUUACUUUAACCAGGGACAUUGAUGUGAUCUUUGAAUUGGAAUCGCCCACUGGAGACUGAUGGAAUUACUAGUUCGUACAAAGCUUAAGGCAGUUGACAUUUAUGGAACUCAUAAAUUCUGUGUGGUAUUCUUCUCAGAACUGUAUGUAGGCUAAUUUUUAUGAGGAAGUUCCAGCUAGUCCUGAACACUAAGCUCUUGUCCUGAAGACAUCUGGGUCCUGGCUGCAAAACUUACACAUGAACUCAGCCC